AGAGUUUGAUCCUGGCUCAGAUUGAACGCUGGCGGCAGGCCUAACACAUGCAAGUCGAACGGUAACAGGAAGCAGCUUGCUGCUUUGCUGACGAGUGGCGGACGGGUGAGUAAUGUCUGGGAAACUGCCUGAUGGAGGGGGAUAACUACUGGAAAUGGUGGCUAAUACCGCAUAACGUCGCAAGACCAAAGAGGGGGACCUUCGGGCCUCUUGCCAUCAGAUGUGCCCAGAUGGGAUUAGCUUGUUGGUGAGGUAACGGCUCACCAAGGCGACGAUCCCUAGCUGGUCUGAGAGGAUGACCAGCCACACUGGAACUGAGACACGGUCCAGACUCCUACGGGAGGCAGCAGUGGGGAAUAUUGCACAAUGGGCGCAAGCCUGAUGCAGCCAUGCCGCGUGUAUGAAGAAGGCCUUCGGGUUGUAAAGUACUUUCAGCGGGGAGGAAGGUGUUGUCGUUAAUAACCACAGCAAUUGACGUUACCCGCAGAAGAAGCACCGGCUAACUCCGUGCCAGCAGCCGCGGUAAUACGGAGGGUGCAAGCGUUAAUCGGAAUUACUGGGCGUAAAGCGCACGCAGGCGGUCUGUCAAGUCGGAUGUGAAAUCCCCGGGCUCAACCUGGGAACUGCAUUCGAAACUGGCAGGCUUGAGUCUUGUAGAGGGGGGUAGAAUUCCAGGUGUAGCGGUGAAAUGCGUAGAGAUCUGGAGGAAUACCGGUGGCGAAGGCGGCCCCCUGGACAAAGACUGACGCUCAGGUGCGAAAGCGUGGGGAGCAAACAGGAUUAGAUACCCUGGUAGUCCACGCCGUAAACGAUGUCUACUUGGAGGUUGUGCCCUUGAGGCGUGGCUUCCGGAGCUAACGCGUUAAGUAGACCGCCUGGGGAGUACGGCCGCAAGGUUAAAACUCAAAUGAAUUGACGGGGGCCCGCACAAGCGGUGGAGCAUGUGGUUUAAUUCGAUGCAACGCGAAGAACCUUACCUGGUCUUGACAUCCACGGAAGAAUUCAGAGAUGGAUUUGUGCCUUCGGGAACCGUGAGACAGGUGCUGCAUGGCUGUCGUCAGCUCGUGUUGUGAAAUGUUGGGUUAAGUCCCGCAACGAGCGCAACCCUUAUCCUUUGUUGCCAGCGGUCCGGCCGGGAACUCAAAGGAGACUGCCAGUGAUAAACUGGAGGAAGGUGGGGAUGACGUCAAGUCAUCAUGGCCCUUACGACCAGGGCUACACACGUGCUACAAUGGCGCAUACAAAGAGAAGCGACCUCGCGAGAGCAAGCGGACCUCAUAAAGUGCGUCGUAGUCCGGAUUGGAGUCUGCAACUCGACUCCAUGAAGUCGGAAUCGCUAGUAAUCGUGGAUCAGAAUGCCACGGUGAAUACGUUCCCGGGCCUUGUACACACCGCCCGUCACACCAUGGGAGUGGGUUGCAAAAGAAGUAGGUAGCUUAACCUUCGGGAGGGCGCUUACCACUUUGUGAUUCAUGACUGGGGUGAAGUCGUAACAAGGUAACC
rnacentral:rRNA from 1 species